UGAGUUGUAAUUUGAAGAGGAUGCCUCGGUGCGGGCCCCGAUCGAAGUUCCUUGGAACAGGACGUCAUAGAGGGUGAGAAUCCCGUCUGUGGUCGGUGGCCCCUACCGUGUGAGGCUCCUUCGACGAGUCGAGUUGUUUGGGAAUGCAGCUCUAAAUGGGAGGUAAAUUUCUUCCAAGGCUAAAUAUCAGCCAGAGACCGAUAGCGCACAAGUAGAGUGAUCGAAAGGUGAAAAGCACUUUGAAAAGAGGGUUAAAAAGCACGUGAAAUUGUUGAAAGGGAAGCGCUUGCCACCAGAGUUGUCCGGGGGGUUCAGCCGACCUUCUGGCUCGGUGUACUUCCUCUCGGGCAGGCCCGCAUCAGUUCGGCCGGCCGGAUAAAGGCCGCGGGAAUGUAGCACCCUCGGGUGUGUUAUAGCCCGCGGUGCAAUACGGCCUGGCUGGACUGAGGUCCGCGCUUCGGCAAGGAUGCGGGCGUAAUGGUGGUCAGCGGCCCGUCUUGAAACACGGACCAAGGAGUCUAACAUCUGUGCGAGUGUUCGGGUGUCAAACCCGUGAGCGUAAUGAAAGUGAACGGAGGUGGGAGCCCUCGGGCGCACCAUCGACCGAUCCUGAUGUCCUCGGAUGGAUUUGAGUAUGAGCAUAGCUGUUGGGACCCGAAAGAUGGUGAACUAUGCGUGAAUAGGGUGAAGCCAGAGGAAACUCUGGUGGAGGCUCGCAGCGGUUCUGACGUGCAAAUCGAUCGUCAAAUUGCGCAUAGGGCGAAAGACUAAU
rnacentral:rRNA from 1 species